rnacentral:rRNA from 1 species
UACGGGGGGAGCAAGCGUUGUUCGGAAUUACUGGGCGUAAAGAGCUCGUAGGUGGUUUGUCGCGUUGUCCGUGAAAACUCACAACUCAAUUGUGGGCGUGCGGGCGAUACGGGCAGACUGGAGUACUGCAGGGGAGACUGGAAUUCCUGGUGUAGCGGUGGAAUGCGCAGAUAUCAGGAGGAACACCGGUGGCGAAGGCGGGUCUCUGGGCCAUAACUGACGCUGAGGAGCGAAAGCGUGGGGAGCGAACAGG